ACGUACCGGGUAGCGGGGGAUAACUGAUCGAAAGAUCAGCUAAUACCGCAUACGUCUUGAGAGGGAAAGCAGGGGACCUUCGGGCCUUGCGCUAUCCGAGCGGCCGAUAUCUGAUUAGCUGGUUGGCGGGGUAAAGGCCCACCAAGGCGACGAUCAGUAGCGGGUCUGAGAGGAUGAUCCGCCACACUGGGACUGAGACACGGCCCAGACUCCUACGGGAGGCAGCAGUGGGGAAUUUUGGACAAUGGGCGCAAGCCUGAUCCAGCCAUGCCGCGUGUCUGAAGAAGGCCUUCGGGUUGUAAAGGACUUUUGUCAGGGAAGAAAAGGCCGUUGCCAAUAUCGGCGGCCGAUGACGGUACCUGAAGAAUAAGCACCGGCUAACUACGUGCCAGCAGCCGCGGUAAUACGUAGGGUGCGAGCGUUAAUCGGAAUUACUGGGCGUAAAGCGGGCGCAGACGGUUACUUAAGCAGGAUGUGAAAUCCCCGGGCUCAACCCGGGAACUGCGUUCUGAACUGGGUGACUCGAGUGUGUCAGAGGGAGGUGGAAUUCCACGUGUAGCAGUGAAAUGCGUAGAGAUGUGGAGGAAUACCGAUGGCGAAGGCAGCCUCCUGGGAUAACACUGACGUUCAUGUCCGAAAGCGUGGGUAGCAAACAGGAUUAGAUACCCUGGUAGUCCACGCCCUAAACGAUGUCAAUUAGCUGUUGGGCAACUUGAUUGCUUGGUAGCG
rnacentral:rRNA from 1 species